CCUAACACAUGCAAGUCGAACGGUUAAGGCGCCCUUCGGGGCGCGUAUAGAGUGGCGAACGGCUGAGUAACACGUGGGCAACCUGCCCCCCGCACCGGGACAGCCUCGGGAAACCGUGGGUAAUACCGGGUACUCCGCCACCCCCGCAUGGGGGAGGCGGGAGAGCGUAUGCGGCGGGGGAUGGGCCCGCGGCCUGUUAGCUAGUUGGCGGGGCAACGGCCCACCAAGGCGAUUAUGGGUAGCUGGGUUGAGAGACCGACCAGCCAGAUUGGGACUGAGACACGGCCCAGACUCCUACGGGAGGCAGCAGUGGGGAAUCUUGCGCAAUGGGGGCAACCCUGACGCAGCGACGCCGCGUGCGGGACGAAGGCCUUCGGGUCGUAACCGCUUUCAGCAGGGACGAGGCCGAAAGGUGACGGUACCUGCAGAAGAAGCCCCGGCUAACUACGUGCCAGCAGCCGCGGUAAUACGUAGGGGGCGAGCGUUAUCCGGAUUCAUUGGGCGUAAAGCGCUCGUAGGCUGCCCGCUAGGUCCGGGGUCAAAUCCGGGGGCUCAACCCCCGCACGCCCCGGAUACCGGCGGGCUUGAGUCGGGUAGGGGAAGGCGGAAUUCCAGGUGUAGCGGUGGAAUGCGCAGAUAUCUGGAAGAACACCGGUGGCGAAGGCGGCCUUCUGGGCCUCGACUGACGCUGAGGAGCGAAAGCUGGGGGAGCGAACAGGAUUAGAUACCCUGGUAGUCCCAGCCGUAAACGAUGGACGCUAGGUGUGGGGGGAGAUGCCCUCCGUGCCGCAGCCAACGCAUUAAGCGUCCCGCCUGGGGAGUACGGCCGCAAGGCU
rnacentral:rRNA from 1 species